GAUGAACGCUAGCGGCAGGCUUAAUACAUGCAAGUCGAGGGGCAGCACAGAUAGCAGUAUUGGGUGGCGACCGGCAAACGGGUGCGGAACACGUACACAACCUUCCUUUUGGUGGGGGAUAGCCUUUGGAAACGGAGAUUAAUACCCCAUAAGAUAUUGUGACCGCAUGGUUAUGAUAUUAAAGAUUUAUUGCCAGAAGAUGGGUGUGCGUAUGAUUAGGUAGUUGGUGAGGUAAAGGCUCACCAAGCCGACGAUCAUUAACUGGUGUGAGAGCACGACCAGUCACACGGGCACUGAGACACGGGCCCGACUCCUACGGGAGGCAGCAGUAAGGAAUAUUGGUCAAUGGACGGAAGUCUGAACCAGCCAUGCCGCGUGGAGGAUGAAGGUCCUCUGGAUUGUAAACUUCUUUUAUAUGGGGCGAAAAAGGGCCAUUCUUGGUCAACUGACGGUACCAUAUGAAUAAGCACCGGCUAACUCCGUGCCAGCAGCCGCCGUAACAC
rnacentral:rRNA from 1 species